AAACUCCUUCGAAAAAAUUCGGAAUCAUCAUCUCACAUUUUGAGAAAACUCCAAGGCUAUAGGCUUACCGUUUUUUCGGGCUGAAAGGUGAAAUAAUUGCCAGAAUAAUUCCAGGACGCUGAUCCUACGUGAAAAAUGCGCAAAGAACACGACGCCGUCGAUCAAAUUGAUCUGGCAUCAAAUCCCAACGAUUUGGAUUCCUGAGACCAAAAUACGAAGGAAUAUCAUGGAAAACUCCUUC